GCAAUCUACCUUUUACAGAGGGAUAGCCCAGAGAAAUUUGGAUUAAUACCUCAUAGUAUAUCACAAUCGCAUGAUUGAGUUAUUAAAGUCACAACGGUAAAAGAUGAGCAUGCGUCCCAUUAGCUAGUUGGUAAGGUAACGGCUUACCAAGGCUACGAUGGGUAGGGGUCCUGAGAGGGAGAUCCCCCACACUGGUACUGAGACAGGGACCAAAUUUAUACGGGAGGCAGCAGUGAGGAAUAUUGGACAAUGGGCGCAAGCCUGAUCCAGCCAUGCCGCGUGCAGGAUGACGGUCCUAUGGAUUGUAAACUGCUUUUAUACGAGAAGAAACACUGCUUCGUGAAGCAGCUUGACGUUAUCGUAAGAAUAAGGAUCGGCUAACUCCGCGCCAGCAGCCG
rnacentral:rRNA from 1 species